AUGGCGGGUGGCAGCGGCGAGGGCGCCGCAAUGUCGCCGCCUUCCUCCUCCGGUGUUGGCGGCGGCAGCGGUGGCGGAAAGCGCGGGAGGGAUCCGGAGGAGGACGUGUACGUGGACAACCUCCACUCCCACAAGCGGUACCUCAGCGAGAUAAUGGCGUCCAGCCUGAACGGGCUGUCUGUUGGAGAUUCGCUUGCCGACAACAUCAUGGAGUCCCCUGCGAGGUCGGAGAGUUCCUCUUGUGUCAGGGACGAAAUAAUCUCCCAAUACUCACCAAUGUCAGAAGACUCAGAUGACUACCGGUACUUCGACACACAACUAAACCCCAACGGGAGUCAAGGCGAUGCAAUGGUCAGCCCAUCAACUAGUCCAAUGUCAUCUCCUCAUCGGUUCCAGAAACCGCAAGCUGGUUUCCUACCAUCAAGCCCAUAUCCUCUCCCCAGCUGCUCCCUCUCAUCCGUAGCUUGCUCUCACCCUCGACGUGGCUCUGAGAAUGAAGGCCGGUUCCCGUCUUCACCCAAUGACAUGUGCCACGGCGCAGACCUGAGGCGAACCGCGCUACUGAGGUCGGUGCAGAUGAGGGUGCAUGGUCCCCAUGCAUACGACCCGUCAUUCGGCAGCCGGCAGGAGCAAGAGCAUGUCCAUGAGCAUGAUGAUGAACAUGGUCAUGAACAUCUGGAAGAUUUGGGAGGGCCGGAAAGACCAUCUUGCAGGAAAUCAAUUGAUAAUGAAGCUAGUGGCUACCAGGGGGCUGAAAACAGCUAUGGGCGGCAGGAGCGCGAUAUUGAUUACAUCGGCGGCUGCACAGCUGAUGAUGUCUUGAGUGGCCCCAAGUUCAAGCAAGAAGAUGAUAACCAAGGUACUAACUGA
rnacentral:rRNA from 1 species